rnacentral:rRNA from 1 species
GACGAACGCUGGCGGCGUGCUUAACACAUGCAAGUCGAACGGAAAGGCCCUGCUUUUGUGGGGUGCUCGAGUGGCGAACGGGUGAGUAACACGUGAGUAACCUGCCCUUGACUUUGGGAUAACUUCAGGAAACUGGGGCUAAUACCGGAUAGGAGCUCCUGCUGCAUGGUGGGGGUUGGAAAGUUUCGGCGGUUGGGGAUGGACUCGCGGCUUAUCAGCUUGUUGGUGGGGUAGUGGCUUACCAAGGCUUUGACGGGUAGCCGGCCUGAGAGGGUGACCGGCCACAUUGGGACUGAGGUCCAGCCCAGGCUCCUGCGGGAGGCAGCAGAGGAGAAUAUUGCACAAUAGGCAGAAGCCUGAUGCAGCAACGCCGCGUGCGGGAUGACGGCCUUCGGGUUGUAAACCGCUUUCGCCUGUGACGAAGCGUGAGUGACGGUAAUGGGUAAAGAAGCACCGGCUAACUACGUG